UCCGAGUUGACCCCGGCAGUCUCCUACGAGUCCCCGGCAUUACCCGCUGGCAACAUAGGACAAGGGUUGCGCUCGUUGCGGGACUUAACCCAACAUCUCACGACACGUGCUGACGACAGCCAUGCACCACCUGUGUAGGGCCCCGAAGGACACCGUAUCUCUACGGCUUUUCCCUACAUGUCAAGCCCUGGUAAGGUUCUUCGCGUUGCGUCGAAUUAAACCACAUGCUCCGCUGCUUGUGUGGAUCCCCGUCAAUUUCUUUGAGUUUUAGCCUUGCGGCCGUACUCCCCAGGCGGGGUACUUAACGCGUUAGCUUAGGCGCGUACGGGGUCGAGACCGCACACACCGAGUACCCAUCGUUUAGGGCGUGGACUAC
rnacentral:misc_RNA from 1 species